rnacentral:lncRNA from 1 species
AUGCUUCAUUUGGAAUGCUAUAACUCUUUAGAUGCUGAUCUUUCUGCAAUGACUCUGGUAGUUCAGCAUCCGACGGUAGAACAAAGUCCACUGCCUGGAGAGUGGCUGGCUGGAAAUGUUGCAAAUUGUGAAACUACCACCAAUGAGAGUGGGUCUCCUGGCCCAAAUGAGAAUAUACAACUGAUUACUGAAUCAUUAUAGGGCAACAGAGAGGAGGAAAAUGCCUUAUCCUGAAAUACAUCCCAUUUAAGCAGGGUACUGAAAUUCAUGCUUUACUUGAAGCAGUAGACAGAUUAAGAGAACCAGUAAGAACCUUACUCUGUUAGGUUAUAAUUGGCUAAAUAAGAAAUAAUCCUAAAGAUAGCAAGCUCUGGGGAGAAGAAGUAAUAAAGGCCAUAGACUUUGGGGGACA